GAGUUUGAUCCUGGCUCAGAUUGAACGCUGGCGGCAUGCCUUACACAUGCAAGUCGAACGGCAGCACGGGAGCUUGCUCCUGGUGGCAAGUGGCGAACGGGUGAGUAAUGCAUCGGAACGUAUCCUGGAGUGGGGGAUAACGUAGCGAAAGUUACGCUAAUACCGCAUAUUCUGUGAGCAGGAAAGCGGGGGACCUUCGGGCCUCGCGCUCUUGGAGCGGCCGAUGUCGGAUUAGCUAGUUGGUGAGGUAAAGGCUCACCAAGGCGACGAUCCGUAGCAGGUCUGAGAGGAUGAUCUGCCACACUGGAACUGAGACACGGUCCAGACUCCUACGGGAGGCAGCAGUGGGGAAUUUUGGACAAUGGGGGCAACCCUGAUCCAGCCAUGCCGCGUGAGUGAAGAAGGCCUCGGUUGUAAGUACUCUUCGUCGAGGGAAGGAAGUUAGUACACCGGACCAAGUACCUACGGUGUAGG
rnacentral:rRNA from 1 species